rnacentral:tRNA from 1 species
GGCAUGGUGGUGAAGUGGUUAACACCGUGGUUUGCAAAACCUCUAUGCGCAGGUUCGAAUCCUGUCCAUGCCUCCA